rnacentral:rRNA from 1 species
AACGAACGCUGGCGGCAUGCCUAACACAUGCAAGUCGAACGAGACCUUCGGGUCUAGUGGCGCUCGGGUGCGUAACGCGUGGGAACCUGCCCUUAGGUUCGGAAUAACUCCCCGAAAGGGGUGCUAAUACCGGAUAAUGUCUUCGGACCAAAGAUUUAUCGCCUUUGGAUGGGCCCGCGUUGGAUUAGCUAGUUGGUAGGGUAAAUGCCUACCAAGGCGACGAUCCAUAGCUGGUCUGAGAGGAUGAUCAGCUACACUGGGACUGAGACACGGCCCAGACUCCUACGGGAGGCAGCAGUGGGGAAUAUUGGACAAUGGGCGAAAGCCUGAUCAAGCAAUGCCGCGUGAGUGAUGAAGGCCUUAGGGUUGUAAAGCUCUUUUACCCGGGAUGAUAAUGACAGUACCGGGAGAAUAAGCUCCGGCUAACUCCGUG